rfam:Ictidomys tridecemlineatus contig122272, whole genome shotgun sequence.
UUCCUUUUGGUUCAUAAGUGUGAUGAUUACUGAGUGGUCAAGUGGCUGUUCUGGGAGAUGUGCCUUGCUCUGAACCUUGUUACCACAUCUGCACAUUACCCAUCUGUUG